CAGUCGCCGCGGUAAUACGAAGGGGGCUAGCGUUGCUCGGAAUGACUGGGCGUAAAGGGCGCGUAGGCGGAUGGCACAGUCAGAUGUGAAAUUCCCGGGCUUAACCUGGGGGCUGCAUUUGAUACGUGUUGUCUAGAGUGAGGAAGAGGGUCGUGGAAUCCCCAGUGUAGAGGUGAAAUUCGUAGAUAUUGGGAAGAACACCGGUGGCGAAGGCGGCGACCUGGUCCUUUACUGACGCUGAGGUGCGAAAGCGUGGGGAGCGAACAGGAUUAGAUACCCCAGUAGUCCCUGUCUCUUAUAC
rnacentral:rRNA from 1 species